GACGUAGGUGGCGAACGUUAUCCGGAAUCAUUGGGCGUAAAGGGUGCGUAGAUGGCAUGAUAAGUUAUUAGUGGGAAAUCGAGGCUCAACCUCGUGGAAGCUAGUAAUACUGUUUUGCUUGAGUGCAGAAGAGGUUAACGGAACUCCAUGUGGAGCGGUAAAAUGUGUAGAUAUAUGGAAGAACAUCAAUAACGGCGAAGGCAGUUAACUAUUCUGUUACUGACAUUGAGGCACGAAAGCGUGGGGAGCAAAACGG
rnacentral:rRNA from 1 species